CCCUCCGCCGCCUGCUGAGUACCACCAUCUUAACUGAGGGCAAACAGGCUUCACUGCCGUCAGAAGUAAUAGGGGCGCGGCAGCCAUGUUGGCCGAGGGCAAGCUCCGCGUAGGCGGCAAAGACAGCCUGUCCUGCUCGUGGCCCUUCUCGGACGCUCGCUGCUGGUUGCAUGCUGAGAAUCAUUACCAUUUCGGAUCCUGGCAAAAAAAGAAACCUUCCCUGAAUAUUCCAUGGACUGCCAGCAGUUUGGCUUGUACUGAAUUAUAAGUGGAAGUGGUUAAGCAAAUCCUUAACCAACGCUGGAAGAGCAAGUACCACUUUGCUGACCGCUCUGACUCUGAUUUAUGCUCAGCCAACUGGAGGUGAUGGCAUGUAGCUAAAUACUCAGGUAUUUAUUGUCCCACCUUCCAUUGAAUGUGAUCUUACCACUUUCCUGGGUUACUUUCUCAGACCUGCAAGUAUAGGUGCUCAUCUUUCACAAUUACCAUCGGUGUCAGUGAAAGGUGCUAUCUUCAAUAGCAACUGCAGGUGCCAUGCAGCUAACAGAACAGGGAAUUUGACAUUUAAACAGGAUGAACAAUUGCAUGUGGCACAUCUUGAAUAUUACUUACUAGUCUGGAAAAGACUGAGCACGGUUACUUAUAGUUACUCCACAUUUGUUUCACAGGACUUAACUAUAUACAUUCACACAUGCAGUUGCCUGCCUACACUUCGCCAUUGUAUUUUGCUCAGGAACAAACAAAUGCAGUUCAUCUGACCCAACAAUAAACCACCAUCUAAACAAGUAACAUUAGGUAUUUUUUUUUUUUCAUUGAAUUAUUGUGGUCAGAAUCUGUCACCCUGACUUAUGCUGAGAAGCACAUUGCUAUUCAGGUAGUUAUUGAUUUCUGUGGGUUUGCACUCAGGGUGAUGCAGUUCUCAGCAUGCAGGAUCACAGAGAAGGUGAACUUUCUCAUCAAAUUUUCAGCAGCAGAAGACUUGGUAGCUCCUUAAGAAAACUGAAACAGCAGUGGCCAUGUUACAAGCUCAGGCCCUGACUUUAGAGUAAUCAGAUGAUACAUUCAAAGUCCAAAGCCGCCUUUUUUACUCAUCCAGAAGCUGCAGUGAGUACAGUGGCUCAGUGGGAUAUGUCAGGCAGGCUUGGCUCAUAUUUUAAAUAGUGAUAAUGAAUAGCUUCAAAGUUCUGCAAAGAACUAGGAAAGAAGAGCUACGAACCAUCCUUCUGUUUUGUGAAAUAAAUGAAGUCACACCUUCAGCAAAACUAUAUGUUGUAUUUUGCCAUUGACUCAAUGUAUCAGCUGGCUAUAAACAAUCUUACAAGUAAUGCAGGAAUUACAUAGCAAAAUCAGAAUGAAUUCAGCACCACCUGAAGGCUGAGAAUUGAAUUCCAUGGCAAUGUGACAGGCACUCUAUGUUACAGGAGAUGAAAUGUAAGGGAAGCUAAUUUGAGGCAAUUUGUGCAGACACGGCAAAAAGUUCUCUAUAGAAAUGGACUACCUCGUUUUAUUUCUUCCUAAAUCCAGAUUCCAGUCAUUUCUUUUCCUAACUCCCAUACAGAUAUCAAUUCGUCUGAGAAACUUAUCUCACUGCAAUGGGUUUGUUUAGAUAGUUCAACUCAGGUGAAAAAUACACCUCAGAAUGGCAACUGUGUUAUAAUUUUAAUUAUGUAGCAAUUGCAAACUGAUCACAUUGUAUAUUGUAAGGUUUUAGAGUAUCACCUGUCUGUGGAAUAUUAGUAUCAAGGUCUAUUCCUGUUAUUUGUAGACAUGCUAUACACUGAAAUUAACUGUCAGUUCUGUUCCCAGAACUUUAUAAAAAAUUCACAUUUAAAAGGCUUUUUCUGAAUCAUGUAACAAAUUAAAUUUUUUCUUUUUGUGAACUAUCAUAUUCUAUGGAGGAGCACCCAUCAUCACAAUGUUUGGCAAAGGCAUUUCCAGUUUAUUAAAGAGACUGUGAUUUAAUAAUUUGGCCAAUGAAAAUCUGCAGGUCGUCUGAGAAUCAUCUUAACACAUGUGGAAUAGGUUCCUUUUUUCCUAGCAAGAAAGAAAGUAGUGUAUAAAUGUUUUGCUAAUGUGCUGAGGGCUACAUUUUAUCCUCAUGCAAUAUUAGCUUCUCAAGAAAAUUCUCAGAAUCUAUUAAGGCAUAAGAUGGUGUAGUCUGUGAUUACUUGAAAACAUAAAACCUUGUUUUGUCUGUCACUCCCACCCGCAUACUCCUGCGCAAUUGCUAUUUUCUCUUUCCAGAAGCUAAAGCAACACAGACAAACCUUGUUUCCUGAAUGACUGAUGGGGUAAUGAAAAUUAAUAGUGGCCCCUACAAACACCAUUGAUUUUUUAAAAUCUCAAAGAUUGACACCUUAUUUUUGUAUUUGAAACAAGCAUAUGUCUGUUUGUUGUAAUAAGUGUAGGUAUGCAUGUAUACCCUGAUACCUACGAGCAUUGUCUGCAGACUCUGAGGAGCUCAGGGGCAUAUUUCAAAUUCACUUCAACAAGGGCACCAGGCUGUGUAAUAAGGAUUUUGUAAAAAUCCAUCCCUUAGAAUCUUGUAAGUAAUCUCUUGGAUAUCCUACAGGCUCUCUUUCAUAAAGCUUUCAACAGAGUUGAGUGGGCUGCACGCGUGUGUGUGAAGCUGCCCUGAUUGAAAUGCCAAUAUUCUCUCUCUCUGUGCUCUGAAAUUUACUAUUGCAAUAAAACGGAAGCAUUCCCUUGCAUACAAACUGAAGUGACUGUGAAGAACAACCACUGAAACCCUCAUUUAUUUCAUGGUUUCGGUUUAAUUGACAUCAGCGUUCAAUCCUUCCUACUGGCCUAUUCAUUGUCUCCCUCUCCUGGAGAUUCAGUCUGGAUUCAGUGUACAGCAAAUUCAUUACUAAACUGCAGCACCUUCCCUCUCUGAAAGGAAGGGGAAAGAAAGAAGUUACACUGUAGUUAGAAUCAGAAGAAUCUAAUCUUAGUAUUUUUCUUUUAUCUACUUUUUUUUGGUUUUUUAAACGUUUAAGUAUUUCCCACAACACCCACAGCAAGCAACCCACACCACCUUCCCCAUCUCCCUGUCCAAGUCUCUGUUGAGGGAAAAUAUGUUAAGAGGAUACUUACCUAUCUCCCUGACUCCAAAUAACCAGUGCCAAGAUGGCGUAAUACAAAUAUUUCCGAAUAAAUCAUGAAAUGAUUCAUGGGUAAAAAACAUUGCAAACAAUGUAUUUUAGGCAUAUUAUUUAACCAGCAGCAAUAAACCUGGUCAUUUUGUAAAGAAUAUGAAUAAUUUGUUUUAAUACUAAACGAUGAGAAUUCCUGUAAGAAUGACCCAACCAGCUCUAAUCAGAGACUGGGGAGCAUGUGGAUGAGUAGCAUGCAGUGUGCAAAUACAUAGGCAACGAUGGGAGGAAAAAUAAAUUGCUCAGAAUGGCGAAGGGUCGCUGGUACCCACCAGUCCUUCCACAAGAAUGGGGCCCAAAAUGUGUUUGAAAUUAGGGUAGAGUAACUGGUGUGGUGUAAAAUAAAGAGAGCAAGGAGGCAGGUUUGCUAAUAUAUUGCCUCACUUGAGGAAAUAAAAAAAAUUAUUACCUGUAGGAAAU